rnacentral:rRNA from 1 species
GUGUUUAUUGUACCUUGUUGCUUCGGCGGGCCCGCCGUUUUCGAACGGCCGCCGGGGAGGCCUUGCGCCCCCGGGCCCGCGCCCGCCGAAGACCCCAACAUGAACUCUGUUCUGAAAGUAUGCAGUCUGAGUUUGAUUACCAUAAUCAAUUAAAACUUUCAACAACGGAUCUCUUGGUUCCGGCAUCGAUGAAGAACGCAGCGAAAUGCGAUAAGUAAUGUGAAUUGCAGAAUUCAGUGAAUCAUCGAGUCUUUGAACGCACAUUGCGCCCCCUGGUAUUCCGGGGGGCAUGCCUGUCCGAGCGUCAUUGCUGCCCUCAAGCACGGCUUGUGUGUUGGGCCCCCGUCCCCGGUUCUCCCCGGGGACGGGCCCGAAAGGCAGCGGCGGCACCGCGUCCGAUCCUCGAGCGUAUGGGGCUUUGUCACCCGCUCUGUAGGCCCGGCCGGCGCCAGCCGACACCCCAACUUUAUUUUCUAAGGUUGACCUCGGAUCAGGUAGGGAUACCCGCUGAACUUAAGCAUAUCAAU